UACGUAGGGUGCGAGCGUUAAUCGGAAUUACUGGGCGUAAAGCGUGCGCAGGCGGUUCGUUGUGUCGGCGGUGAAAGCCCCGGGCUCAACCUGGGAAUGGCCGUUGAAACUGGCGAACUGGAGUGUGGCAGAGGGGGGGUGGAAUUCCGCGUGUAGCAGUGAAAUGCGUAGAGAUGCGGAGGAACACCGGUGGCGAAGGCGGGUCUCUGGGCCGUAACUGACGCUGAGGAGCGAAAGCAUGGGGAGCGAACAGG
rnacentral:rRNA from 1 species